GAAGAAGGAAAAGAAAAGAAGGAAAAAGAUGCGCAGCCUGUCAGUUAUUCAUAUACAUUCUUCCACCUGAUUUUUGCCUUGGCCAGCAUGUACUCAGCUAUGCUUCUUUCAGGAUGGACUGACUCAUCUGAAAGCUCUGACCUGAUAGACACAGGAUGGACAUCAGUUUGGGUUAGGAUAUGCACCGAAUGGGUGACUGCUGUACUCUACGUAUGGACCCUUUUAGCCCCAUUGCUUUUGCCUGAUCGUGAGUUCUUCUAGGUAUCCAU
rnacentral:misc_RNA from 1 species